GAUGUGACUGUCCCAGCAAUGCGAACACACAGCAGACCGGUGGAAAGUGUGAAGUCUUGGGGACACAGUGCCGGGGAGCUCUGCUGGAGAUAUCCUGGGUUAUCCUUCCUCAAAAACCAGGACUACUGCCCUGCUGGGAAGUGCUCUGCUGCCAAGUUCUGGUUUCCAAUGCAUGGAAGGCGAUAGCGCUACCUGGAGUCAUCAUCGCACUGCCAAAGAGGUUCUGUCAGGGCCUGUUGCGUAUGUAGACCUGCAUCUUCCAAAUACGCACACAAUGGCGGCAGUGCAGACUCUUCCCCUAACCAUUGACCAGGACCCUGAGGUCAGCAUUCCCCAAGACCAGACAGGCUCAAGAUCACCAGACACGGAGAACACUAUGGGAAGUGUGAGCAGUCUAAUCUCUGGAAGACCGUAUCAUGACAAGCAAUGCAAGGCUUCCGAAUUUAGCAACAAGUGCCGUAAACCUGCCAUUAUGCCAAACUUUUUUAAACAGCAGGAGGGACUCCUAAAAAGUAAUUAUAACUCCCAGGACCCACUUUUUAAUGGGCUUCCCACCAAGAAACCUUGUGCUGCUACCUCUGGGGGUAAUGGGAAUUAUACUUAUGUCAAUGAUGACUUUAAGGAGGAGUGGCAUGAAGCCAGAGCUCCCAACAGCCCUUACAGUGAUGUGGAUGAUGUGCGGGAAGAGAGGGCCCCCAAUGGGAAUAUAAGAGGACCUCCACCCAAACUUAUUCCUGUUUCUGGCAAGUUAGAAAAGAACAUAGAGAAGACUUUGAUAAAACCGACAGCUUUUAAACCAGUGGUGCCGAAAAAACGUAACUCUUCUUUACAAUAUCUUGUCCAAAGGAAUGGAGUCCCUAGCUUAUCUGACAGUCAGGGCAGCUUAAAUCUUCUUUUCAAUGGAAACACAAUAGGGACAAAUGACAAGCACAACUCGCCUAGCUGCAGGAACAGUUCCAUCUCUGGAACCAUGUCAGACUCUGGCCGGAAUUCUCUAUCCAGUCUUCCCACCUAUAGCACAGGUUGCAGUCACCAGCUGGAGCCAGUCAGCAUAUCCAUGAGUCACAUUAACCUGGAUAAUCACAGUAACAUAAAUGGGUUUUCCGAGCGAGUGUCGCGGGCACGGACACGGCCUUCAAAUUCUGACAGUGGACGAUCAUCUUCUAGUAAAAGCACCGGCUCUUUAAGUGGAAGAGGGAACCAUUCGUCUGAUAGUGGCUCAUGUGAUAGGUCACCCAUCAUCAAUGAAGAGAUUCUUAUCAGAGAGCUGGAGGAGAAGCUAAAAGACCGGGAGAUGGAACUACAACACCUGAAAGAAAAUCUGGAUGAAAAUGAAGCAGCCAUUUGCCAGGUUUAUGAAGAGAAACAGAAACGCUGUGAGCAGGAGAUGGAGGAGAUGCGCCAAAGCUUUUCCCUCAAAAUGAAGCAGGCGUCCCAGAAGGCUCAGCGGAUGCAGCAGGUUCUGCAACUUCAGAUAUUUCAGCUGCAACAGGAGAAGAAAAAACAUCAGGAGGAUUUCUCUCAACUUCUCCAAGAAAGGGAACUACUAGAGAAGCGCUGCGCCUCCUUCGAGAGAGAGCAAACCGAGCUGGGGCCACGGUUAGAGGAGACAAAAUGGGAGGUCUGUCAGAAAUCUGGUGAAAUUUCUCUACUUAAACAGCAGCUGAAAGAUGCUCAGGCUGAACAAGCUCAGAAAUCCAGUGAAAUGUUACUUCUCCGUUCGCAGCUGAGAGACAUUCGAUCUGAUCUUCAGAUUAGUGAGGAACAAGUUCAGGAACUUCAGGACACGGCUCAUACAAAGACGCUGGAGCUGGAGGUAUGUGAGAACGAACUGCAGCGCAAGAAGAACGAAGCCGAGCUGCUACGGGAGAAGGCCAGUAAGCUGGACCAGGAGGUGGCUAGUCUCAGAGAAGCAGCUGUAGCCAGCCUCCGACAUGGACUGUGUCACUGCUACGAGAAGGAAGACCCAUUCUUGCUUUACGAAAGCGACGAGGCCAAAGCACAGCGUCAGAAUUCUGACAACCUGCAGAGUUUAAAUAAGUACGUGGAGAGGUUAAGGGAGGCUCUGCUGAGUGAACGCAGAAGAAACCAGGAACAGCUAGAACAAUUUGAGGAAGAACAACGCAUAUGGCAGGAAGAAAAAGAGAAGGUGAUCCGAUAUCAAAAGCAGUUACAACACAACUACAUCCAGAUGUACCAACAGAACCGGGAGCUGGAGAGAGACAUUAAACAGCUUUCUCUGGAACUGGAGGCAAGGGAACUUGAUGAAUUUGACUUACACGGUGCUGAAAUUCAGUUUGAGGAAAUCACAGCCACCGAAAUUUAAAGCCAAUAGAGUACCACUUCUGCCUUUUUUUGGACAUUCCAGCGGUUGGUCUUGCCAAAAAAGAAACUUGCCCACAAAUGCUUUUGCAUAUCGUGCUUUUAUAUUGACACAUGAACUCAAACAUCUGAUUGACAGGACAUCUAGGACAGGAUAUCUGUGAAUAGAUGUCUAAAAUGUCCAAUAUGAGUUUAUAUUUCCAUCUGAUGCAUAUUAAUAUCCAUAUCCACCCUCACAGGCAAUGCUAACCUUGUCCAAUGGACCAAAGCUAUAUCAUUGGGCAUUAAUGAUACAAUGUGUUUUCUUUACGUUCUGUUCUCAAGCGAGCCAUUUUGUUGUAGUCACCUCAUUGUCAGCAGAUUCUGGGAAUGGACAUCAGACCAAGGUGCUUCCAAUUGAUACCUAUAGUUUUAUGGAAUAACCCUGCAAUCCUAUUUGCUUACUUUCUCUCUCUAAUGUUUGUCACGGUCAAUACUGUAGCUAUAUUUUUGAAUGUUUUUCUCAGAUGUAACAGCUGCCAUUCGCUUACGUUUGUAUUCUCCAUAAUAGUGUGGCAGACUUAGAUCACCUCUUGUAAAUAGUGUAAGAUAAAAGAUUUUGUUUCCCAAAGCGAAAUAACUGGUUUUGUAAAACUACAACUAGCACCUUCUUCUCCAUCUCUUCCUGUUUGACAAGUGUAGUCGCUUUCGAUCUCAGGUAGGCAAAUUGCUAGAGCACAAUCAUAACACUUAAAGGGGUACUCCACCCCUAGACAUCUUAUCCCCUAUCCAAAGGAUAGGGGAUAAGAUGUUUGAUCGCUGGGGACCCCCGCAAUAUAGCAUGUAGCACCCACCUGUAUCUGCUUCCGGCAGCGCUGAAGGUUCUGGCUCCCAACCACGGGAACGGAAGAUCGUGACGUGACGACUCCACCCUCGUGGGGCGGGGCGUGAUGUCACACGGGGCGGAGUCAUGCCCCCUCUCAUAGACUUGCAUUGAGGGGACGUGGCAUGAUGUCACACGGGGGCGGGGGGGGUGACGUCACGAUCUUACGUUCCAGUGGUCGGGAGCCAGAACCUCCAGCGCUACAGGUGGGUGCUGCAUGCUAUAUUACGGGGGACCCCUUUGGAUAGGGGAUAAGAUGUCUAGGGGUGGUGUACCUCUUUAAUACCAUUUGCAAUAGAAAGACUUCUCCUUCUCAUAGAUUUCAAGGGGUCUAUAGCUCACUACACCACAACCAAGCCAUAAGUGGCAGCCCCUCUGCCUGCUGAGAGAUUUAGAGGGUCUUCUACUACUUUUUUUUUUUUUUUUUUACUCCUUCCUUAGUUUACCUCUUGUAUUACAAUGGCAUUUACUUAAAUUUAUUUACUACGUUUUUACAGUAACUGAAGUCCUAUACCUUUUAAUAGUAGUAUGUACUUUUUAUUGCCUCCCUCAGUCCAGGUUCAGGUUGCCUAGUAAUCACUCCUGUUUGGUGACCUCCAUUUGAGUACAUGGGGCUAUAUGUAUAGAAGUGGUCACCAGAAAGACAUUCUUCUAUACACCAAACUGGUUGCAGGAAACACAAAAAGAUGUUGCAUGUCAUCAGGUUGGAGAAAAGACAAGGAAAGGGAGAAUACAAGUAAUAGUAGCCCAUAGCUUGCCAUUUUUCCUGUCUAUUGAGAAGUAACCUUGGGAAAAGAAUUUAGGAAAUUUUUUAGAUCAGAAUUUCUUAUAGGAGAUAUAUGAUACCUAAAAAGAUCUUUAGAUUGUGGGAGGUCCAACCGCUGGGGAGAGCCAGGGCCCCCUACAGGAGAUUGCGGGGUUACCAGCCGUUGGAUGGGGGAUACGUUUUUAGCUAUGAUAUUUCUUCUUUAAGCAAGUCUAAACAUAAUCGACUAGAGUAAGAUAGAAGUAAAUGUGUAGAUCAGCUCACCCCAAAGCCUGCAGAAUCGAGCAUGGAAGGGAACGGACUAUUCCCAGUUUGAAUGCAAAAAGAGAGAAGGAUUCCAUCUCGUUCAUAGAUCUAAUAGCCGUCUUUAUUCACACAAAGUUACAUGGAUCACAGGUACAGGGCAGGAUGUGACGCGUUUCCGAUCCCCCGGGAUCUCGGCUGCAGCACCCACCUGUACGGCUUCCACCUCACAGCGGUAACGC